rnacentral:lncRNA from 1 species
ACUGGUGAUUGAUGACGGCACAGGUGAGGCUCACAUCUGGUUCUCUGGUGAUCUGGUUCGUCCUCUGCUGGGAUUGGCUGAUUCUCAGUGGGAGGGGCUUCAGAGAGCGCUCAAGGUCAGAGGCCACGUCAGAGUGUACCCCCGGGGGCGGAGCCUGGUGUGUGAUGCUGACGACCCCCUCCUCCACUUCCUGUUGUGUGUGUGCAGCAGUGAAGUUGUGUGUCGUCAGCUCACUCUCACCUGCAGGAAACACAACACCCAGAGAUCAGAAGAGAUGAAGAGGUUCAGUCGAGGAGACAGAGACUUCAUGACCAGAGUGACUCCUCCUCUACAGCUCACCUGUACAAACAUCAUCACUGACUGACCUCACCUGUGUGCAUGCUGGCAGGAAGUCCUCCACAGGAAGAGGCGGAGUCAGCUCACCUGGUCGAAGAAAACGUGUCUGACUGCAGAGCUGCAUCACAUCAUCUACAGAGCUGCAUCACAUCAUCUACAGAGCUGCAUCACAUCAGCUACAGAGCUGCAUCACAUCAUCUACAGAGCUGCAUCACAUCUACAGAGCUGCAUCACAUCAGCUACAGAGCUGCAUCACAUCAUCUACAGAGCUGCAUCACAUCAUCUACAGAGCUGCAUCACAUCAUCUACAGAGCUGCAUCACAUCAUCUACAGAGCUGCAUCACAUCAUCUACAGAGCUGCAUCACAUCAACUACAGAGCUGCAUCCCAUCAUCUACAGAGCUGCAUCACAUCUACAGAGCUGCAUCACAUCAUCUACAGAGCUGCAUCACAUCAACUACAGAGCUGCAUCACAUCAUCUACAGAGCUGCAUCACAUCAACUACAGAGCUGCAUCACAUCAACUACAGAGCUGCAUCACAUCUACAGAGCUGCAUCACAUCAUCUACAGAGCUACUACAGAGCUGCAUCACAUCAACUACAGAGCUGCAUCACAUCAUCUACAGAGCUGCAUCACAUCAUCUACAGAGCUGCAUCACAUCAUCUACAGAGCUGCAUCACAUCAUCUACAGAGCUGCAUCACAUCAUCUACAGAGCUGCAUCACAUCAACUACAGAGCUGCAUCACAUCAACUACAGAGCUGCAUCACAUCAUCUACAGAGCUGCAUCACAUCAUCUACAGAGCUGCAUCACAUCAUCUACAGAGCUGCAUCACAUCAACUACAGAGCUGCAUCACAUCAACUACAGAGCUGCAUCACAUCUACAGAGCUGCAUCACAUCAACUACAGAGCUGCAUCACAUCAUCUACAGAGCUGCAUCACAUCAUCUACAGAGCUGCAUCACAUCAUCUACAGAGCUGCAUCACAUCUACAGAGCUGCAUCACAUCAUCUACAGAGCUGCAUCACAUCAACUACAGAGCUGCAUCACAUCUACAGAGCUGCAUCACAUCUACAGAGCUGCAUCACAUCAUCUACAGAGCUGCAUCACAUCAACUACAGAGCUGCAUCACAUCAUCUACAGAGCUGCAUCACAUCAACUACAGAGCUGCAUCACAUCAUCUACAGAGCUGCAUCACAUCAUCUACAGAGCUGCAUCACAUCAUCUACAGAGCUGCAUCACAUCAUCUACAGAGCUGCAUCACAUCAACUACAGAGCUGCAUCACAUCAACUACAGAGCUGCAUCACAUCAUCUACAGAGCUGCAUCACAUCAACUACAGAGCUGCAUCACAUCUACAGAGCUGCAUCACAUCAUCUACAGAGCUGCAUCACAUCUACAGAGCUGCAUCACAUCAUCUACAGAGCUGCAUCACAUCAACUACAGAGCUGCAUCACAUCUACAGAGCUGCAUCACAUCAUCUACAGAGCUGCAUCACAUCAUCUACAGAGCUGCAUCACAUCAUCUACAGAGCUGCAUCACAUCUACAGAGCUGCAUCACAUCAACUACAGAGCUGCAUCACAUCAACUACAGAGCUGCAUCACAUCAACUACAGAGCUGCAUCACAUCAACGGGCGACUGACUAUUUUUCCUGGCCAAAGUCAGGGUCCUUGAACACAACACGGCGAGUGUAAAACAGAAAGGUGGAUGCGUCGCACUUUCCAGGAGAAAUGGACAAACGAUUAUUUCUGUGUGGAAGUUAAAGGCCAGUGUGCCUAGUUUGUGCGGUGAUGAAAAAUAAUCUUGAGCGUCAUUACAGCACGAGACCCUCUGUCCUUACACCCUCUGUCCUUAGACCCUCUGUCCUUAGACCCUCUGUCCUCAGACCCUCUGUCCUUAGACCCUCUGUGCUCAGACCCUCUGUCCUUAGACCCUCUGUCCUCAGACCCUCUGUCUUUAGACCCUCUGUCCUUAGACCCUCGCAUCACACAAGGAAAAACCUCCUAAAAGAAACCCCAUAAUUAAAGGGGGAACAUGUUAGAAACCUCAGGGAGAGACUAAGGAGGGAUCCCUCUCCCAGGACGGACAGACGUGCAAUAGAUGUCGUGUGUACAGGAUAAACAACAUAGUACAAAUACAACAUGUGACAGAAAUGAUGUUGUGUUGAAAAAGAGAAAGUUUGGAUGAAUCCAGGAAAUGAAUCAAAAUCAAUAAGGCUUCCAGGUGUCCAGCAGGACCAGGGCAGCAGGCGCAGCCAUGAUUCAUGAUCCUGACGUAAACUUUAUCAGUGGCAACCUGCCACAUGAGACACAGACACUCUGGGGAUGAUGCCCCGGAUGAUGAGUUAGUAACAUACAUUUACAUAAAUGCAUACAGAUAGAGAGGGAGAAGAAGAGAGGGAGGGGAGGAGAGAGGAAGAGAGCAGGGAGGUGUCCCCCGGCAGUCUAAGCCUAUAGCAGCAUAACUAGGGGCUGAUCCAGGGCAAACCUGAGCCAGCCCUAACUAUAAGCUUUAUCAAAAAGGAAAGUCUUUAGCCUACUCUUAAAUGUGGAGAGUGUGUCUGCCUCCCGAACACAAACUGGAAGCUGGUUCCACUGAAGAGGAGCUUGAUAGCUGAAGGCUCUGGCUCCCAUUGUACUCUUAGAGACUCUAGGAACCACAAGUAACCCUGCAGUCUGGGAGCGUAAUGCUCUAGUUGGUUUAUAAGGUACUAUGAGAUCUUUAAGAUAUGCUGGAGCCUGACCAUUAAUUGCUUUGUAAGUCAGGAGAAGGAUUUUGAAUUCUAUUCUAUAUUUUACCGGGAGCCAGUGCAGAUAAAAUAUUUAUAAAAAAUAAUAAAGUUAACGCUCUUCGGUGGAGUUUGUCCCAACAAGCAGCUCUCUGCAGAGCGGAACAUACAAACAUGGACAGAUAGAGAGGUAGACCCCCACACCAAGAACACACUGUUCCACCACUGCUGUGCAGUUAUCACUGCCAUGUGCAAUACUCACUUUAUUUAUAUCACUUGGUACUUAUAUUAUGUUUAUUCUAUUUAAUUAUUGUGUUCUGCCUUUUUACUUCAUGUUCUUCUGCUGUAACAAAAUAAAUGUCCCCGUUGUGGGACUAAUAAAGGAUUUCUGUUUUCUGAUAAAACAAAGUUGCUUCUUUGCAUUUAGCAUAAAGAAAAGUGAAAUGAACGAGCUGCGUCUUAAAAACAAUGUGCAGAAGUUAUGAGUUCAAUAAUUAGUACGACCCUCGAAGGAUGUUGUUAAAAAUAAAAUGGCCCUUGACAUGAAAAA